rnacentral:rRNA from 1 species
AAUGAUCGAAAGCUUGACGCAGCGACGCCGCGUGGACGAUGAAGGUUUUCGGAUCGUAAAGUCCUUUUAGCGAGAAAGAAUGUAUUUAGGAGUAACUGUCUAAGUAUUGACGGUACUCGCAGAAGCAGCCCCGGCUAACUCCGUGCCGGCAGCCGCGGUAAUACGGAGGGUGCAAGCGUUGUUCGGAAUUAUUGGGCGNAAAGGGAGUGUAGGCGGUCUUUUAAGUCUGAUGUGAAAGCCCCGGGCUCAACCUGGGAAGUGCAUUGGAAACUGGGAGACUUGAAUACGGGAGAGGGCAGUGGAAUUCCUAGUGUAGGAGUGAAAUCCGUAGAUAUUAGGAGGAACACCGGUGGCGAAGGCGGCUGCCUGGACCGAUAUUGACGCUGAGACGCGAAAGCGUGGGGAGCAAA